UUUGCUAGGGGAGCCUAUCGGCUGAGACUGCUGCCUGCGACAGAGGCAGCUAACCCUCACUACUUGAACCGGAUAAUGCCGGCGUAAGGAAGCAU
rnacentral:ncRNA from 1 species